CUUCAAAAAAUAAAAUAAUAAUAAUAAAUAAAUAAAUAAAUAAAAAAAAAUUAAAAAAAUUAAAAUAACGCAAC
rnacentral:rRNA from 12 species